GAUGAACGCUGACAGAAUGCUUAACACAUGCAAGUCUACUUGAAGUAACUUCGGUUAUGGAUGGUGGCGGACGGGUGAGUAACGCGUAAAGAACUUGCCCCUUAGUCUGGGACAACUGUUGGAAACGACAGCUAAUACUAGAUAUUAUGAGAUCUUGGCAUCAAGGUUUUAUGAAAGCUAUAUGCGCUAAGGGAGAGCUUUGCGUCCUAUUAGCUAGUUGGUGAGGUAAUGGCUCACCAAGGCGACGAUAGGUAGCCGGCCUGAGAGGGUGAACGGCCAAAAGGGGACUGGGACACGGCCCUUACUCCUAGGGGAGGCAGCAGUGGGGAAUAUUGGACAAUGGACCAAAAGUCUGAUCCAGCAAUUCUGUGUGUUUGAUGAAGGCCUUCGGGUUGUAAAGAACUUUAAGUAGGGAAGAAGAAAGUGACGGUACCUACAGAAUAAGCGACGGCUAAAUACGUGCCAGCAGCCGCCGUAAGAC
rnacentral:rRNA from 1 species